rnacentral:rRNA from 1 species
AUGAAAAUGUUCCAUGAGAUGAUCGAAAGUGGAAUAACAGUGAGCAGUUCCACAUACAGGACAGUCCUUGGAGGACUUUGCAGGAAUAGUUGUGAGGACGAAGUGAUCACCCUGUUCCAGAUAUUAGGAGCAAUGAAUGUGAAGUUGGAUAUUGCAAUACUCAAUACCAUGAUCAAUGCAAUGUUCAAGGUUCAGAGAAGAGAAGAAGCUAACGAUUUAUUUGCUGCAGUAUCAGCCAGUGGAUUGGUACCUAAUGCUUCUACCUACGGUGUAAUGAUAAAAAAUCUUCUAAGAGAAGGAUCGGUGGAAAAAGCUGAAAAUAUGUUCUCAUUAAUGGAGAACAGUGGUUGUGCUCCAGACUCUCGUCUUAUAAAUGACAUCAUCAGAAUAUCAUUAGAGAAAGGUGAGAUUGUCAAGGCUGGAAAUUAUAUGUCUAAAGUUGAUGGCAGGAGCAUCUCACUUGAAGCUAGAACUACUUCGUUGCUGAUACGUCUCUUUUCAAGUGAAGGGAAAUAUCGGGGACAAAUAAAUUUGCUCCCUGUAAAGUACCAAUGUUUCGAUGGAUUUAGUUGA